GAUCAUGGCUCAGGAUGAACGCUAGCUACAGGCUUAAUACAUGCAAGUCGAGGGGAAACGACAUCGAAAGCUUGCUUUUGAUGGGCGUCGACCGGCGCACGGGUGAGUAACGCGUAUCCAACCUGCCCAUCACUUGGGAAUAACCUUGCGAAAGUAAGACUAAUGCCAAAUGAUAUCCCACGAAGGCAUCCGAAUGGGAUUAAAGAUUUAUCGGUGAUGGAUGGGGAUGCGU
rnacentral:rRNA from 1 species